rnacentral:miRNA from 1 species
CUGUUUGCAUAGACUGUGUGAU